GUAGUCAUAUGCUUGUCUCAAAGAUUAAGCCAUGCAUGUCUAAGUAUAAGCAAUCUAUACGGUGAAACUGCGAAUGGCUCAUUAAAUCAGUUAUCGUUUAUUUGAUAGUACCUUACUACUUGGAUAACCGUGGUAAUUCUAGAGCUAAUACAUGCUAAAAGGCCCGACUUCGGAAGGGUCGUAUUUAUUAGAUAAAAAACCAAUGCCCUUCGGGGCUCCUUGGUGAUUCAUAAUAACUUAACGAAUCGCAUGGCCUUGUGCCGGCGAUGGUUCAUUCAAAUUUCUGCCCUAUCAACUUUCGAUGGUAGGAUAGUGGCCUACCAUGGUUUCAACGGGUAACGGGGAAUUAGGGUUCUAUUCCGGAGAGGGAGCCUGAGAAACGGCUACCACAUCCAAGGAAGGCAGCAGGCGCGCAAAUUACCCAAUCCCGACACGGGGAGGUAGUGACAAUAAAUAACGAUGUAGGGCCCUUUUGGGUCUUAUAAUUGGAAUGAGUACAAUUUAAAUCCCUUAACGAGGAACAAUUGGAGGGCAAGUCUGGUGCCAGCAGCC
rnacentral:rRNA from 1 species